rnacentral:rRNA from 1 species
CUACGGGAGGCAGCAGUGAGGAAUAUUGCACAAUGGGGGGAACCCUGAUGCAGCAACGCCGCGUGGAGGAUGACGCAUUUCGGUGUGUAAACUCCUUUUAUAUGUCAAGAAAAUGACGGUAGCAUAUGAAUAAGCACCGGCUAACUCCGUGCCAGCAGCCGCGGUAAGACGGAGGGUGCAAGCGUUACUCGGAAUCACUGGGCGUAAAGGACGCGUAGGCGGGUUGGAAAGUCAGGUGUGAAAUCCUACAGCUUAACUGUAGAACUGCACUUGAAACUUCUAAUCUAGAGCAUGGGAGGGGGAGAUGGAAUUAGUGGUGUAGGGGUAAAAUCCGUAGAUAUCACUAGGAAUACCUAAAGCGAAGGCGAUCUCCUGGAACAUUACUGACGCUAAGGCGUGAAAGCGUGGGGAGCGAACAGGAUUAGAUACCCCCGUAGUC